UCUCUCCCUCAUCUUUUUUCUUCGUUUCUGUCCCCAGCAACAAGCCAAUCUAAUCCCAGGGUUGAACCUCAGUGCACUUGGCAUCUUUUCUACAGGACUGUCCGUGCUUCCUCCACCAGCAGGGCCCCGUGGGGUCCCCCCCAGUGCCCCCUACCACCCCUUCGCUACCCACUCCGGAUACUUCUCCAGUCUGUACCCUCAUCACCAUUUCGGCCCAUUCCCGCAUCAUCACUCCUACCCAGAGCAGGAGACUGUGAAUCUCUUCAUCCCAACCCAGGCUGUGGGUGCUAUCAUCGGGAAAAAGGGGGUGCACAUCAAACAGCUGGCUCGAUUUGCUGGUGCCUCUAUCAAGGUAAGAUCAUUGCUGUCAGCUGCCUGUCCCCUUGGUCUCCUCUGGUCAGUGCCAGACAGUUCUUACACCACCCAGAGACAGAAUCUGCAGAAUGUAUUUCCAGGACCCUUCCUGUCUGCUCCCAUUCCUCAUCAUAGUCCUUUCCAGUUCCACCAAACAACUACGUUAGAAGAAAGAUACUAGUACUGACCAAACUGGGUCCUCUGAGGAUUGGCAUUGUCCCCUCUUCUCAGAGGAUAAAAGAAAGCUGAAGAUCUUCCCCCCCCACCCCCCGCCAGCUGAGGGGAUGCGCUCAAGUGGAAGGAGCAAUUGUGCUAGCACUCAGCACACCGGUGCGUCAUUAGUCUGUAGCUAGAGUUUUCCUGCCUUGCCCACAGUCAGGACAAAUCUUUGUCACCCGCCAGUCCCAUAGCCUCUCAGACCCAACCAAGUAAACACAGAGACUUAUAUUGCUUACAAACUAUAUGGCCAUGGCUUCCCGUCAUCUUCACAUACUUUUUGUCAUGGCGGCUGGCAGUGUCUCCUUUUGCCUUCCUGUUCUUUCUUUUCUCCUCUCUUAGUCCCGCCUAUAAUUCCUGCCUAGCCACUGGCCAAUCAGUGUUUUAUUUAUUGACCAAUCAGAGCAAUUUGACCUACAGACCAUCCCACAGCAUUAGUCCAUGCUUCAAGGACUUACAGACUAUGAGAAAACAAAAAUUGAAUGAAGAACUUUCUGGAAGGUGCUGAUAAAAUCAUGGGCAGACAAGAGCUGAUGGCAUCACCUGUUAGGAGGUCAGGACUGAGCAGAAGGCUAGGGACGUCCUCUUGCUUGCCUCUCUCGGUUGUCAAGGAUUGUUUGCCGUGGGCCUGCUUCAAGCCCGGCUGUCAGCUCUGCUAAGACGCUGAACACUGCCGGGAACACUUCCCACUGCUGUGGAAGACAAUUUGCUACCAUGAGACAACCCCAAAUUAUGAAACCGAGUCUCAUGACUUGGAGAGAAAGAAUACUUACACUUUCUCCCUAAGAGCUGGAG